UACGUAGGGAGCAAGCGUUGUCCGGAUUUACUGGGUGUAAAGGGCGCGCAGGCGGGUUGGCAAGUCAGAGGUGAAAUCCUACAGCUUAACUGUAGAACUGCCCUUGAUACUGCCAAUCUUGAGUAUGGAAGAGAGAGACGGAAUUCCAGGUGUAGUGGUGAAAUACGUAGAUAUCUGGAAGAACACCAGUUGCGAAGGCGGUCUCUUGGUCCAAUACUGACGCUGAGGCGCGAAAGCGUGGGGAGCAAACAGGAUUAGAUACCCCCGUA
rnacentral:rRNA from 1 species